AUACGGAGGGUGCGAGCGUUAAUCGGAAUUACUGGGCGUAAAGCGUACGUAGGCGGUUGGUUAAGUUAGAUGUGAAAGCCCCGGGCUUAACCUGGGAACUGCAUUUAAAACUGGCGAACUAGAGUUGAGUAGAGGGGAGUGGAAUUUCAGGUGUAGCGGUGAAAUGCGUAGAGAUCUGAAGGAACACCGGUGGCGAAGGCGACUCCCUGGACUCGAACUGACGCUGAGGUACGAAAGCGUGGGUAGCAAACGGGAUUAGAAACCCCAGUAGUCC
rnacentral:rRNA from 1 species